CCGGUUAUGUUACGCGCCGUUUACUGGGGCUUCAAUUCGUACCUUCGCUUGCGCUAAGCACUCCUCUUCUGCACUCAAGUUCCCCAGUUUCCAAUGACCCUCCCCGGUUGAGCCGGGGGCUUUCACAUCAGACUUAAGGAACCGCCUGCGCUCGCUUUACGCCCAAUAAUUCGCGGCCGCGUCGACGAAUCCCGUCCACCGAACGACUAAGGUUUCCAGAGGUAGGCUCGUCCGCUCUGGGUAAGUCGGGACCUAAGCCGAGGCGAUAAGCGUAGGCGAUGGACAACAGGUAGAAAUUCCUGUACCAGUAAGAUUGCAUUUGAGUGAUGGAGUGACGCAGAAGGAAAAGAUGAGCGCGCGGAAGAAGAGCGCGUCCAAGCCAUAAGGCUGCAUGUUAGGCAAAUCCGGCAUGCAUUAAGGCUGAGUGGUGAUGGGGAGCCGAAAAUAGUAGGCGAAGCAUAUGGACUCACACUGCCAAGAAAAGCUUCUAGCAAGUAAUCAUACUGCCCGUACCGUAAACCGACACAGGGUCGACGCGGCC
rnacentral:rRNA from 1 species